rnacentral:tRNA from 2 species
GGUGUAGCUCAGUGGUAGAGCCCCGGAUUGUGACUCCGGUGGUCGUGGGUUCAAGUCCCAUCAUC